rnacentral:rRNA from 1 species
UAUACAGGUGUUGCAUGGCUGUCGUCAGCUCGUGUCGUGAGAUGUUCGGUUAAGUCCGCUAACGAGCGCAACCCUCGUCGUAUGUUAUAUGUGUCAUACGAGACUGCCGGUAAAAAGCCGGAGGAAGGUGAGGAUGAUGUCAAGUCAGCAUGACCUUUAUAUCCAGGGCUACACACACGCCACAAUGGUCUGUACAAUGGGUAGCCAAGCCGCGAGGCGGAGCCAAUCCUGAAAGCAGGCCUCAGUUCAGAUUGCAGUCUGCAACUCGACUGCAUGAAGCCGGAGUUGCUAGUAACCGCAGGUCAGCAAUACUGCGGUGAAUACGUUCCCGGGUCUU